rnacentral:rRNA from 1 species
CCUACGGGUGGCAGCAGUGGGGAAUAUUGGACAAUGGGGGGAACCCUGAUCCAGCCAUGCCGCGUGUGUGAAGAAGGCCCUCGGGUUGUAAAGCACUUUCAGUGAGGAAGAACGCCUGGUGGUUAAUACCCAUCAGGAAAGACAUCACUCACAGAAGAAGCACCGGCUAACUCCGUGCCAGCAGCCGCGGUAAUACGGAGGGUGCGAGCGUUAUUCGGAAUUACUGGGCGUAAAGCGCGCGUAGGUGGCUUGAUAAGCCGGUUGUGAAAGCCCCGGGCUCAACCUGGGAACGGCAUCCGGAACUGUCAAGCUAGAGUGCAGGAGAGGAAGGUAGAAUUCCCGGUGUAGCGGUGAAAUGCGUAGAGAUCGGGAGGAAUACCAGUGGCGAAGGCGGCCUUCUGGACUGACACUGACACUGAGGUGCGAAAGCGUGGGUAGCAAACAGGAUUAGAUACCCUAGUAGUC